rnacentral:rRNA from 1 species
GAGUUUGAUCGUGGCUCAGGAUGAACGCUAGCUACAGGCUUAACACAUGCAAGUCGCGGGGCAGCAUGUAUCUGGCUUGCCAGAUACGAUGGCGACCGGCGCACGGGUGAGUAACGCGUAUCCAACCUGCCCAUAACCACGGCACAGCCCGUCGAAAGGCGGAUUAAUGCCGUAUGAGGUUCCAGCGUAGCAUUAUGAUGGAACGAAAGGAUUGGCGGUUAUGGAUGGGGAUGCGUCCGAUUAGCUGGUUGGCGGGGUAACGCCCACCAAGGCGACGAUCGGUAGGGGUUCGUGAGAGGAAGGUCCCCCGACACUGGAACUGAGACACGGUCCA